GGGAUAAGCCUGGGAAACUGGGUCUAAUACCGGAUAGGACCAUGCUUUAGUGUGUGUGGUGGAAAGUUUUUCGGUGCAAGAUGAGCCCGCGGCCUAUCAGCUUGUUGGUGGGGUAAUGGCCUACCAAGGCGACGACGGGUAGCCGGCCUGAGAGGGUGUACGGCCACAUUGGGACUGAGACACGGCCCAG
rnacentral:rRNA from 1 species